rnacentral:rRNA from 1 species
CUGGCGGCGUGCUUAACACAUGCAAGUCGAACGGAAAGGCCCUGCUUUUGUGGGGUGCUCGAGUGGCGAACGGGUGAGUAACACGUGAGUAACCUGCCCUUGACUUUGGGAUAACUUCAGGAAACUGGGGCUAAUACCGGAUAGGAGCUCCUGCUGCAUGGUGGGGGUUGGAAAGUUUCGGCGGUUGGGGAUGGACUCGCGGCUUAUCAGCUUGUUGGUGGGGUAGUGGCUUACCAAGGCUUUGACGGGUAGCCGGCCUGAGAGGGUGACCGGCCACAUUGGGACUGAGAUACGGCCCAGACUCCUACGGGAGGCAGCAGUGGGGAAUAUUGCACAAUGGGCGGAAGCCUGAUGCAGCAACGCCGCGUGCGGGAUGACGGCCUUCGGGUUGUAAACCGCUUUCGCCUGUGACGAAGCGUGAGUGACGGUAAUGGGUAAAGAAGCACCGGCUAACUACGUGCCAGCAGCCGCGGUGAUACGUAGGGUGCGAGCGUUGUCCGGAUUUAUUGGGCGUAAAGGGCUCGUAGGUGGUUGAUCGCGUCGGAAGUGUAAUCUUGGGGCUUAACCCUGAGCGUGCUUUCGAUACGGGUUGACUUGAGGAAGGUAGGGGAGAAUGGAAUUCCUGGUGGAGCGGUGGAAUGCGCAGAUAUCAGGAGGAACACCAGUGGCGAAGGCGGUUCUCUGGGCCUUUCCUGACGCUGAGGAGCGAAAGCGUGGGGAGCGAACAGGCUUAGAUACCCUGGUAGUCCACGCUGUAAACGGUGGGUACUAGGUGUGGGGUCCAUUCCACGGGUUCCGUGCCGUAGCUAACGCUUUAAGUACCCCGCCUGGGGAGUACGGCCGCAAGGCUAAAACUCAAAGGAAUUUGACGGGGCCCCGCACAAGCGGCGGAGCAUGCGGAUUAAUUCGAUGCAACGCGUAGAACCUUACCUGGGUUUGACAUGGAUCGGGAGUGCUCAGAGAUGGGUGUGCCUCUUUUGGGGUCGGUUCACAGGUGGUGCAUGGCUGUCGUCAGCUCGUGUCGUGAGAUGUUGGGUUAAGUCCCGCAACGAGCGCAACCCUUGUUCACUGUUGCCAGCACGUUAUGGUGGGGACUCAGUGGAGACCGCCGGGGUCAACUCGGAGGAAGGUGGGGAUGACGUCAAGUCAUCAUGCCCCUUAUGUCCAGGGCUUCACGCAUGCUACAAUGGCUGGUACAGAGAGUGGCGAGCCUGUGAGGGUGAGCGAAUCUCGGAAAGCCGGUCUCAGUUCGGAUUGGGGUCUGCAACUCGACCUCAUGAAGUCGGAGUCGCUAGUAAUCGCAGAUCAGCAACGCUGCGGUGAAUACGUUCCCGGGGCUUGUACACACCGCCCGUCAAGUCAUGAAAGUUGGUAACACCCGAAGCCGGUGGCCUAACCGUUGUGGGGGAGCCGUCGAAGGUGGGACUGGUGAUUAGGACUAAG